CAACAGUUGUCUUUUACCGGAUUCAGGAUCAAGAAUCAGGUUGUCUACGCCGUUGCGUUUUACUAGUAACUUGGUCGGGAAGCCCCAUUUAUACUGUACUUCCGCCGCUCUCAAUGCCGCUGUGAUGUGGGUAAACGAUCGCCUUUUUAUCAUAGUCGCAGUGGAGAGGUCAAUGAAUAGCUUGAUUUGGGAAAAUUGACCUGGGAGCUGACCUUGGCGUCUAGCCGCUUGCAUUAUUCGAUCUUUCGUUGUGAAAUAGUGUAUUCGUGUUAUGACGUCUCUCGGUACUGUAGUCGGUAAGUGCUUGGGUUUUGGGAGGCGGUGUGUGCGGUCAAGCAGCAACUCAGUUUCCUUCAAUGCUGGAACGUAUGCUGUAAAUAUUUC